rnacentral:misc_RNA from 1 species
UAGCUGCGUUAAGCGGUGUGAAUUGCAGGACACGCCGAACAUUUGAUUUUCGAACGCACAUUGCACCUUCGGGUCUUUCCCGGAGGUACGUCUGUCUGAGGGUCGGAAAACAAGACACUCAUUGUUGUGUGAGGCCUGCAUCGAGGCAGAGUUGUUGACGCUAGUUGGCAACACAGUCUCGUGAGGCUGAGAGUGCUUAGCAAGGUGCAGCAUGAGAUGCAGCUACCAGCGCAACACUUCACGUUGUCGCUGUGCGUCUUGAUGGUUGUGCUACUUGACUACUAAGCAGGAGAAUACACUUCUCUCACUCUGUCGACCUCAGAUCAGGCGAGAUUACCCGCUGAAUUUAA